rnacentral:rRNA from 1 species
GAUGAACGCUGGCGGCGUGCCUAAUACAUGCAAGUCGAGCGAACUGAUUAGAAGCUUGCUUCUAUGACGUUAGCGGCGGACGGGUGAGUAACACGUGAGCAACCUGCCUGUAAGACUGGGAUAACUCCGGGAAACCGGAGCUAAUACCGGAUAACAUUUUCUCUUGCAUAAGAGAAAAUUGAAAGAUGGUUUCGGCUAUCACUUACAGAUGGGCCCGCGGUGCAUUAGCUAGUUGGUGAGGUAACGGCUCACCAAGGCAACGAUGCAUAGCCGACCUGAGAGGGUGAUCGGCCACACUGGGACUGAGACACGGCCCAGACUCCUACGGGAGGCAGCAGUAGGGAAUCUUCCGCAAUGGACGAAAGUCUGACGGAGCAACGCCGCGUGAGUGAUGAAGGCUUUCGGGUCGUAAAACUCUGUUGUUAGGGAAGAACAAGUACAAGAGUAACUGCUUGUACCUUGACGGUACCUAACCAGAAAGCCACGGCUAACUACGUGCCAGCAGCCGCCGUAA